rnacentral:siRNA from 1 species
CCUGGUCUUAAUUGGCCGG